rnacentral:rRNA from 1 species
AGAGCAAACGGUGGAUGCCUUGGCACAGUCAGACUAUGAAGGACGUGGUAAGCUGCGAAAAGCUACGGUAAGAAGCACACAUUCUUAGACCCGUAGAUUUCCGAAUGGGGCAACCCGUUAGGUGUAAUGACCUAACAUCUCUUUAUUGAGAAGAUAACCUGGGGAACUGAAACAUCUCAUUACCCAGAGGAGUAGAAAAUAACAAUGAUUCCCUUAGUAGCGGCGAGCGAAACGGGAAGAGCCUAAAAUCUAUGAAUGUAUAAGAUUACAGUCGUUGUUCAUAGGUGGUUGUGGGAUCUUUAUUCUAUUUGCUGUAACAAAUAGGUGAAGUUACAAAAUAAUAUAUUAGUGGAAUUAUCUGGAAAGUUAAGCCACAGUAGGUGACAGUCCUGUACACGAAAAUAUAUUAUCUUCAUUUAAAGACACCCGAGUAAGGCGGAGCACGUGGAACUCUGUCUGAAUCCGGCUGGACCAUCAGCUAAGGCUAAAUACUCGACUGUGACCGAUAGCGUAUAGUACCGUGAGGGAAAGGUGAAAAGUACCCUUGGCAGGGAGUGAAAUAGAACCUGAAACCGUUUGUUUACAAGCAGUCGGAGUUCUUUAUGGAACGACGGCGUGCCUUUUGCAUAAUGAGCCAGCGAGUUACUUUAUGUUGCAAGGUUAAGUGCGUAUCGUAUGUAACCGCAGCGAAAGCGAGUCUUAAUAGGGCGUAUAAGUAAUGUGAAGUAGACCCGAAACCAGAUGAUCUAUCCAUGUCCAGGUUGAAGUUACUGUAAAAGGUAAUGGAGGACCGAACCAGGUGAAGUUAAAAAUUCAUUGGAUGAGGUGUGGAUAGGGGUGAAAGGCCAAUCAAAUCUGGAGAUAGCUGGUUCUCCCCGAAAUAGCUUUAGGGCUAGCCUCGUAUAAUUGUUUAGGGGGUAGAGCACUGUCAAGACGCGGGCGGCUACCACCGUACCAACUCUUAGCAAACUCCGAAUACCUAUAACAAUUUUAUGCGGGAGUCAGGGCAUGAGUGACAAGGUUCAUGUCCGAGAGGGAAACAACCCAGAUCGACAGCUAAGGUCCCCAAGUUUAUACUAAGUGAAUAAGGAUGUCGGAUCGCUUAAACAACCAGGAUGUUGGCUUAGAAGCAGCCAUCAUUUAAAGAGUGCGUAAUAGCUCACUGGUCAAGCGUUCUUGCACCGAUAAUUUCCGGGACUAAGUAUAACACCGAAGCUUCGGAUGUACGACUAUGUCGUAUUAUGGUAGGGGAGCGUUCUGUAAGCCGUUGAAGGUGUGAGGUGAUUCACAUUGGAGGUAUCAGAAAUGAGGAUGCUGGCAUGAGUAACGAAAGUGGAGUUCAAGAAUCUCCACCACCGAAAAUCUAAGGAUUCCUGCGCAACGCUCAACGACGCAGGGUUAGUCGGCCCCUAAGGAAAGGCCGCGAGGCGUAUUUAAUGGGAAACAGGUUAAUAUUCCUGUACCGCCUUUAAGUUGUUAUACAAAGGAGGGACGCAGAAGUGAAAGUGGAGCUGGGUGUUGGAUAUCCCAGUUUAAGUGCUUAGUGAGUAAGGAUAGGCAAAUCCGUCUUUACAAUCAUGAAGUACGAGUACGAGCCUUAUGGCGAAGUCCACCUAAUCAUACUGCCAAGAAAAUCUUCGUUGUUAGACUUAUUGGCGACCGUACCGUAAACCGACACAGGUAGAUGGGAUGAGUAUUCUAAGGUGAUCGAGCGAACUGCAGUCAAGGAAUUCGGCAAAAUGACUCCGUAACUUCGGGAUAAGGAGUGCCUCCUCAGCAAUGAGAGGUCGCAGAGAAAUGGCCCAUGCGACUGUUUAUCAAAAACACAGGUCUAUGCUAACACGUAAGUGGAUGUAUAUGGACUGACACCUGCCCGGUGCUGGAAGGUUAAGAGGCGUUGUUAGGAUUUAUUCCGAAGCAACAAAUUGAAGCCCCAGUAAACGGCGGCCGUAACUAUAACGGUCCUAAGGUAGCGAAAUUCCUAGUCGGGUAAGUUCCGACCCGCACGAAAGGUGUAACGAUGUGGGCGCUGUCUCGACUGCAGGCUCGGUGAAAUUGAAAUCUCGGUGAAGAUGCCGGGUACCCGUGACAGGACGGAAAGACCCCGUGAACCUUUACUAUAGCUUGACAUUGUGUUUUGUUAUUACAUGUGUAGGAUAGGUGGGAGACAAUGAAAUGGGAACGCCAGUUUUCAUGGAGUCGCCCUUGAAAUACCACCCUUGUAUUAAUGGAAUCCUAACCGAGUUGAUUGAAUCAUCAACCGGGACAUUGUCUGGUGGGUAGUUUGACUGGGGCGGUCGCCUCCAAAAAAGUAACGGAGGCGCGCAAAGGUAACCUCAGCAUAAAAGGUACUCCGGGGAUAACAGGCUUAUCUCCCCCAAGAGUUCACAUCGACGGGGAGGUUUGGCACCUCGAUGUCGGCUCAUCACAUCCUGGGGCUGGAGAAGGUCCCAAGGGUUUGGCUGUUCGCCAAUUAAAGUGGUACGCGAGCUGGGUUCAAAACGUCGUGAGACAGUUUGGUCCCUAUCCGUCACGGGCGUAUGAUAUUUGCGGAGCUCUGUUUCUAGUACGAGAGGACCGAAAUGGAUAAACCUCUGGUUCACCGGUUGUCACGCCAGUGGCAUUGCCGGGUAGCUACGUUUAUAACGGAUAAGCACUGAAAGCAUCUAAGUGCGAAACCGACUCCAAGAUAAGAUAUCACUUCAGACCCCUUGU